rnacentral:rRNA from 1 species
UACGGGAGGCAGCAGUAGGGAAUAUUGGACAAUGGGCGCAAGCCUGAUCCAGCCAUGCCGCGUGAGUGAAGAAGGCCCUCGGGUUGUAAAGCUCUUUUGUCCGGAAAGAAAAGCAUCCAGUUAAUACCUGGGUGUCCUGACCGUACCCGAAGAAUAAGCACCGGCUAACUUCGUGCCAGCAGCCGCGGUAAUACGAAGGGUGCAAGC